CGCCGCAUUGCGCCUAUAUUAACAAGGCUGGCUUGCCAGCUAUGGCGAUAAACGUGCUGUGGAAUAAGCAGAGCGGACCCGGGGGCGGUACCCGGCGCCUCCACCAUUUUAGCCUGAAUUGACAGGUGCUGACAUGGCAUCCAAUUGUGGCACAUCCUGAUCAGGCUGAAAGCGUGGGGGCGAAAUAGGAUCGACGCAUGUAGUAAAGGCAGUAUUUUCGCUCGGUAUGGUACCCGCCGUUAUCGGGCCAUGUAGUAGUUGCAAACGACAACACUGCUCCGGUCGCAAUCGCAGCCUAACGGCAGCGGGAGUAACCGAUCUUAAGUCCAGAUUGAUUGAGCUCAGUCUGGCGGGGUUUGGGGCGCACCUGGCAACAGAAGCGU
rnacentral:tmRNA from 1 species